UGGAGGACACGAUCUGGCUGAUGAGGCGGUUCAGGUUGGUGUAGGUGGGACGCUCGAUGUCCAGGUUGCGGCGGCAGAUGUCGUAGAUGGCCUCGUUGUCCACCAUGAAGGCGCAGUCGGAGUGCUCCAGGGUGGUGUGGGUGGUGAGGAUGGAGUUGUA